rnacentral:rRNA from 1 species
AGAGUUUGAUCAUGGCUCAGAACGAACGCUGGCGGCAGGCCUAAUACAUGCAAGUCGAGCGCCCAGCAAUGGGAGCGGCGGACGGGUGAGUAACACGUGGGAACAUGCCCUUCGGUACGGAACAACUCAGGGAAACUUGAGCUAAUACCGUAUGCGCCGGUAACGGGAAAGAUUUAUCGCCGAAGGAUUGGCCCGCGUCC